rnacentral:rRNA from 1 species
GGUCUGAGAGGAUGAUCAGCCACACUGGAACUGAGACACGGUCCAGACUCCUACGGGAGGCAGCAGUGGGGAAUAUUGCACAAUGGGCGCAAGCCUGAUGCAGCCAUGCCGCGUGUGUGAAGAAGGCCUUCGGGUUGUAAAGCACUUUCAGUCGUGAGGAAGGUGCUAGCGUUAAUAGCACAAUGAUUUGACGUUAGCGACAGAAGAAGCACCGGCUAACUCCGUGCCAGCAGCCGCGGUAAUACGGAGGGUGCGAGCGUUAAUCGGAAUUACUGGGCGUAAAGCGCAUGCAGGUGGUUUGUUAAGUCAGAUGUGAAAGCCCGGGGCUCAACCUCGGAAUUGCAUUUGAAACUGGCAGACUAGAGUACUGUAGAGGGGGGUAGAAUUUCAGGUGUAGCGGUGAAAUGCGUAGAGAUCUGAAGGAAUACCGGUGGCGAAGGCGGCCCCCUGGACAGAUACUGACACUCAGAUGCGAAAGCG